rnacentral:rRNA from 1 species
CCUACGGGAGGCAGCAGUGAGGAAUAUUGGUCAAUGGGCGGAAGCCUGAACCAGCCAAGUAGCGUGCGGGAUGAAGGCCCUACGGGUCGUAAACCGCUUUUGCACGGGGAUAACACCCUCCACUUGUGGAGGUCUGCAGGUACCGUGCGAAUAAGGGCCGGCUAAUUCCGUGCCAGCAGCCGCGGUAAUACGGAAGGCCCGAGCGUUAUCCGGAUUCAUUGGGCUUAAAGGGAGCGUAGGCGGGCGUUCAAGCCAGCUGUAAAAGCGCGCGGCUCAACCGCGCCCCGCAGUUGAAACUGGACGCCUUGAGUUCACAACAGGCAGGCGGAAUUCGUGGUGUAGCGGUGAAAUGCAUAGAUAUCACGAGGAACCCCGAUUGCGAAGGCAGCCUGCCGGGGUGCGACUGACGCGUAGGCUCGAAGGUGCGGGUAUCAAACAGGAUUAGAUACCCGAGUAGUC